rnacentral:lncRNA from 1 species
UAUGACAUUACAAUAGAUAAGAUUUUAACAACUUUUUCUUUAUGAAUACUAUUGAAUACAGGACAAAUUUUUGAAAAUAUUGACAAAUUAAAUUUAAUCUACAAAUUAAAAAAUCCCAGCUUAUAUACUGUGUAAGAUGAAUGUUUUGGAGACACUUCUCCUGACGUGCCACCGCAGACAAGUCCACGAUCGAGCUAGCUUGAGCCAUGCUUCUGAAGGCAAGCUUUGGAUCUAAUAUCAGCCUGACCACG